CCUACGGGUGGCAGCAGUGAGGAAUAUUGGUCAAUGGACGAGAGUCUGAACCAGCCAAGUAGCGUGAAGGAUGACUGCCCUAUGGGUUGUAAACUUCUUUUAUAAAGGAAUAAAAUGAUGCACGUGUGCGUUUUUGUAUGUACUUUAUGAAUAAGGAUCGGCUAACUCCGUGCCAGCAGCCGCGGUAAUACGGAGGAUCCGAGCGUUAUCCGGAUUUAUUGGGUUUAAAGGGAGCGUAGAUGGGUUGUUAAGUCAGUUGUGAAAGUUUGCGGCUCAACCGUAAAAUUGCAAUUGAUACUGGCAGUCUUGAGUACAGUUGAGGUAGGCGGAAUUCGUGGUGUAGCGGUGAAAUGCUUAGAUAUCACGAAGAACCCCGAUUGCGAAGGCAGCUUACUAAACUGUGACUGACAUUGAUGCUCGAAAGUGUGGGUAUCAAACAGGAUUAGAUACCCGGGUAGUC
rnacentral:rRNA from 1 species